rnacentral:lncRNA from 1 species
CUGCGCCCCGCCUCAGCCCCCAGAGCGUCACGGAAUAAAUCCGGAGGCAGGAAAAGUACACAUAUGGAAAUAGUGAAGUUGGUUCUGUCUCUGUCUAGGAAGAUGCUGUGUAAGUGUUGCAAAGCACCACAGAUGACAAUCCCACCACAGAGCAUCCUUCUGAAUGCUGUGUCCUGAAAAAAGCACUGCAGCUGGCAAACUUCCAGGUCAAGGCUUUGUCUAAAGUUACAGUAAAAUGUUAUCACCUGAGAGCUGUAAAGAAACACUAUGAUGAAUCAAGAAGAUAUCUCGAGGAUAUCUUGGAGAGAGGAACACCUGUACUAAUGAUGAGUUAUAAGCAAAUCAGCUCACCAGAAAAAUGUUGA